GGCUCCGUGGCCCAGUGGUUAAGGCGUCGGUCUUGUAAACCGAAGAUCACGGGUUCGAUUCCCGUCGGAGCCU
rnacentral:tRNA from 1 species